rnacentral:rRNA from 1 species
UACAGAGGGUGCGAGCGUUGUCCGGAAUCACUGGGCGUAAAGCGCGUGUAGGCGGCCCUGCAAGUCGGAUGUGAAAUCCCACGGCUCAACCGUGGAAGUGCAUUCGAAACUGCAGGGCUAGAGUCCUGGAGAGGAAGGUGGAAUGCUUGGUGUAGAGGUGAAAUUCGUAGAUAUCAAGCGGAACACCGGUGGCGAAGGCGGCCUUCUGGACAGUGACUGACGGCUGAGAUGCGAAAGCGUGGGGAGCAAACAGG